rnacentral:rRNA from 1 species
GCAACUGGGGAUAAUUCCGGAUAACGCACAUAUGCUGUAAUGCUUUGUGCGUCAAAUGGAUUCGUCUGCCCAAGGAUGGGUCUGCGACCUAUCAGGUAGUAGUGGGUGUAAUGUACCUACUAGCCGACGACGGAUACGGGUUGUGAGAGCAAGAGCCCGGAGAUGGAUUCUGAGACAUGAAUCCAGGCCCUACGAGGUGCAGCAGGCGCGAAAACUUUACAAUGCGGGACACCGUGAUAAGGGGACACCGAGUGCCAGCAUCAUUUUCUGGCUGUCCGGGUGUGUAAAAUACACCUGUUAGCAAGGGCCGGGCAAGACCGGUGCCAGCCGCCGCGGUAACACCGGCGGCCCGAGUGGUGAUCGUGAUUAUUGGGUCUAAAGGGUCCGUAGCCGGUUUGGUCAGUCCUCCGGGAAAUCUGACGGCUUAACCGUUAGGCUUUCGGAGGAUACUGCCAGGCUUGGAACCGGGAGAGGUAAGAGGUACUACAGGGGUAGGAGUGAAAUCUUGUAAUCCCUGUGGGACCACCUGUGGCGAAGGCGUCUUACCAGAACGGGUUCGACGGUGAGGGACGAAAGCGGGGGGCGCGAACCGGAUUAGAUACCCGGGUAGUCCCAGCCGUAAACGAUGCUCGCUAGGUGUCAGGCAUGGCGCGACCGUGUCUGGUGCCGUAGGGAAGCCGUGAAGCGAGCCACCUGGGAAGUACGGCCGCAAGGCUGAAACUUAAAGGAAUUGGCGGGGGAGCACAACAACGGGUGGAGCCUGCGGUUUAAUUGGACUCAACGCCGGAAAUCACUAGUGAAU